rnacentral:lncRNA from 1 species
GAUGCUCAAAAUUUUCUUUCAGAAGACUCAGUGUAAGUCUUGUUGUGUCGUGAGCGAGGGUUUUGGUUGGUGAGGUUGACCUUGUUUUUGAGUUUGACUUGGUCUGAACGAGUGCUCGGUCUUCUUGAUCUCUUUUAUUUGAAUUUUUGUUUUUGAAAUAACAUAGCAAUUAUUAGAUAUUUGGGUUUAUUGACAAAAUAUUUUAGCUUUAUUACUCAUUGUCCCAAUCAUUUUUAAUUUUAUUUUAAACAAAUAAAAUGGAAUCACUAUUUAAAGGAAAAAAGGUCAAGUACGCUUGGGAAACUUCGGAACAUUCUUUGAGUAUCAAACAACUUAAGAAGUCGGAGACAGAAUAAAAGUCACGAUGUCGUGUAUAAGUAAAAUCGAAAUUCGUUGCAUCGUAUCAGAAGAAAAAACUACCAAAAACGUAUGAUAGAUAUGCCUAUACGAACGGGAUCUUUUUUGUUUAUAAAAAAUGAAAAUAUAUGAACGUGUUGGUGUGUAACAAAAGGUAUUAUCAUAGCACUUAGAGAUUUUUUUUUUUUUUUGCAUCUAGAUUUUCUUUUUAUUUGUUAAGCUGAAACGAAACAACUCAUAUUAAUAUAGUAUUUAAUACACGUAGUAAUGGCCCCUCAUUAACUUUAGUGCCCGACGCGGACGCGGUAUCACCCUCGUGGAAAAGACUAUUCUCGUGGAAGUUACUUAACAUUGACGAGUCCGGUCAUGACAUUUGCUUCCGCCUUCUACCAGGGCUAAGGAUGGACAUGAGCAGAUAUCCGGAAUUUUAAGGAUAUCCGUGAUGCGUUUCUCUACACAGAUAGUUAAUUUUUUUUAUUUGAUUCAAUCUGGAAUUUUUCGUGUGUUCGGUAUUCUGGAUAUUUGGAAAAAUCAAUAUUUUUACCGAAUAUCUGAUUCGAUCCGAUCCGUAAAAAAGAUAAUGAAC